CAACUAAGGCCCCUAAAUGACCGCUCAGUGAUAAAGGAGGUGGGGGUGCAAAGACAGCCAGGAGGUUUGCCUAGAAGCAGCCACCCUUUAAAGAGUGCGUAAUAGCUCACUGAUCGAGCGUCCUUGCGCUGAAGAUGAACGGGGCUAAGCGAUCUGCCGCAAGUUG
rnacentral:rRNA from 1 species